AGCGAACGCUGGCGGCAGGCUUAACACAUGCAAGUCGAGCGGGCAUCCCUGUGUUGUCAGCGGCAGACGGGUGAGUCACGCGUGGGACCGUGGCCUUAGGUUCGGAUUAACUCAGGGUAACUUGAGCUAAUACGGGAUAAGUGCGAGAGCAGACAGGUUGAUCUGCGGAGGGAUUGGACCGCGUCUGCUUAGCUAGUUGGUGUGGUUAUGGCUCACCAUGUCGACGAUCAGUAGCUGGUCCGAGGGGAUGACCAGCAACACUGGGACUGGGACACGACCCAGACGCCUGCGGGAAGCAGCAGAUGGGAAUAUAUGACAAUAGGCGCGACCCUGAACCGGCCAUGCCGCGAGAGCGAUGACGGCCUUGUAGUUGGAAAGCUCUUAUCUCCGGGAUGAUAGUGACGGUACUGGAUGAAUAAGCCCCGGCUAACUACGUG
rnacentral:rRNA from 1 species